UUUGUAUAUUCUUUAUUUUUUAGUACCCUGUUAUUCUCGAGUAUUUACAUUUUAGCACCCUAUUUUUCUCUGUUCUUUAUAUUUUAUCGGCCAACUAUUUCUUUUUUUUUUUUUUUUUUUUUUUUUUUUUUUUUUUUUUUUUUUUUUUUUUUUUUUUUUUUUUUUUUUUUUUG